rnacentral:rRNA from 1 species
GGAAUAUUGGUCAAUGGGCUUAAGCCUGACCGAGCAACGCCGCGUGAAUGAAGAAGGCCUUCGGGUUGUAAAAUUCUGUUAUAAGGGAAGAAAGGUGAUAGGAGGAAAUGACUAUCAAUUGACGGUACCUUAUGAGAAAGCCACGGCUAACUACGUGCCAGCAGCCGCGGUAAUACGUAGGUGGCAAGCGUUAUCCAGAAUUAUUGGGCGUAAAGAGCGCGCAGGUGGUUAAUUAAGUCUGAUGUGAAAGCCCACGGCUUAACCGUGGAGGGUCAUUGGAAACUGGUUGACUUGAGUGCAGAAGAGGGAAGUGGAAUUCCAUGUGUAGCGGUGAAAUGCGUAGAGAUAUGGAGGAACACCAGUGGCGAAGGCGGCUUCCUGGUCUGCAACUGACACUGAGGCGCGAAAGCGUGGGGAACGAACA